rnacentral:rRNA from 1 species
UACGAAGGGAGCUAGCGUUGUUCGGAAUCACUGGGCGUAAAGCGCACGUAGGCGGAUGUGUCAGUCAGGGGUGAAAUCCCGGGGCUCAACCCCGGAACUGCCUUUGAUACUGGGUAUCUCGAGUCCGAGAGAGGUGAGUGGAAUUCCGAGUGUAGAGGUGAAAUUCGUAGAUAUUCGGAGGAACACCAGUGGCGAAGGCGGCUCACUGGCUCGGUACUGACGCUGAGGUGCGAAAGCGUGGGGAGCAAACAGG